AUGAUGGAGACUGUGCAAUGCUUGCUAUUUGCUAGAGACAACCUCCCCAGCGACGUGUACCGCGAGUUCGUCAAGGCCAUGACCGAGGUUUGGAAAAACUGUGCUGACCCGGAUGGUGAAAUAAGGAACAUCUGCCCUGAAAACUGCAUAGAGACGGCGUUGAAGCUAUUUCAGGGUUGGGCUACAGUUAAACAGAGCUUCCUUAACUUCACUGAAGGCCGUAGCCCCGUCGAAGGCAAUGGCAUUGUCGAUGCUGAUGUCGAAGCCGUUGUUGUCAACCCCUUGCUACAGAAACCAAUAGAUUUUCUUUCCGGACUGAAGGCAUGCCCUAACAUGAGCGACGAUCAUUAUGCCGCUUUUUUGAAAAUCAUGCAAGAUUAUUUCAGGGACAGGACCAUGACCCCUCGAAAAGUUUACAAGAAGGUGAGGAGAUGCAUGCGUGACUGUCCUGAGUUGUUGGAAGAGUUUGUGGAUAAUUUUCUCCCUGCAGACCUAAAGGCCUUUGUAAAGGUUAAAGCAAAUGAUAACCGCCGCUCGGAUGCAGGAUCGGUAACUUCAUAUAUGUAUUCAUCUCUGAUAGGUUACGGAGAAUUGCCUCACGCCGAAGAGGAUGAGGAAGACAAGGUUAAACCCUUGCCAGACUGGAAUUCCUCAAAAGCUCAGGAAUUGCCCCCAGAAGUUGAUCCCAAGAAGCUCGAACGAGCUUGCACUCCUAGCUAUUACCUGCUGCCAGAUAAUUUAACUCUUCAUUCAAGUUAUUGGACCAAUCUGGGGAGGUCUAUUCUCAACGAUACUUUUGUCUGUUCUGUAUCUGGGAUGGAAAGCUCUAAGCACAAAACUAUAAAUGGUUAUGAGACAAACAUUUUCUACUGUGAAGAAGACAUGUUUGAGAGUGACAUGCUAUUACACCGGUUUCGUGCGACUGCUGACCUUAUUGCCAAUCUCCAAACUCGUGCUGGCAGCCGUUUGAAGAUAAGCGAGCAUUUAACUCCUCUACACCGGAGGUGCAUUGAAAAACUAUAUGAUGAUGAUCCUGAGCUUGAUGAUCUGUUGGAGAGUCCGAAUACUAGUUCUGUUCUUGCUGUUCUACUUUCUCGUUUAAAGCAGAAGGUAGAAGAUUUAUCGGAGGCGCGCUCAUAUUUGCAUAAGGCGCACUCACAAGUUAUUGCCAAAAAUUACUACAGAUCGCUUGAUCAUCGUGGCCUCUCUUUCAAACAAUUGGAUGCAAAGAGGAUGAGCCAAAAAGGCUUUACCAGGUUUAAGGAUAAAAUCAUCAAGCUACAUGCCCAUUGUAUUGAUAAUUCCAGUUUUGAAGACUUCUGCCUGCAAUUUCUUGGGCCAAAGUCCGUUGAACUUUUUACUCUGGAUAUAGUGAUAAACCGAGUUAUCAAGCAGUUUCCCAACAAUCCAUCAAAUAUAUUACCGAAGUAUGAUCAAGAGGAGCAAGAGAAAGCUCUUGCCGAUACCGAAAAACUUCCGCGCCAUUUUGAGAGAAGGUAG
rnacentral:rRNA from 1 species